CGGCGGACGGGUGAGUAACACGUGGGUAACCUGCCUGUAAGACUGGGAUAACUCCGGGAAACCGGGGCUAAUACCGGAUAGUUCUUUCCCCCGCAUGGGGGAGAGUGGAAAGGCGGCUUCGGCUGCCACUUACAGAUGGACCCGCGGCGCAUUAGCUAGUUGGUGAGGUAACGGCUCACCAAGGCGACGAUGCGUAGCCGACCUGAGAGGGUGAUCGGCCACACUGGGACUGAGACACGGCCCAGACUCCUACGGGAGGCAGCAGUAGGGAAUCUUCCGCAAUGGACGAAAGUCUGACGGAGCAACGCCGCGUGAGUGAUGAAGGUUUUCGGAUCGUAAAGCUCUGUUGUUAGGGAAGAACAAGUGCCGUUCGAAUAGGGCGGCACCUUGACGGUACCUAACCAGAAAGCCACGGCUAACUACGUGCCAGCAGCCGCGGUAAUACGUAGGUGGCAAGCGUUGUCCGGAAUUAUUGGGCGUAAAGCGCGCGCAGGCGGUCUCUUAAGUCUGAUGUGAAAGCCCACGGCUCAACCGUGGAGGGUCAUUGGAAACUGGGGGGACUUGAGUACAGAAGAGGAAAGUGGAAUUCCACGUGUAGCGGGUGAAAUGCGUAGAUAUGUGGGAGGAACACCAGGUGGCGAAAGGCGACUUUUCUGGGUCUGUGAACUGUACGCCUCUAAGCGCGCCAA
rnacentral:rRNA from 1 species